rnacentral:rRNA from 1 species
GAGGAAAGAAACCAACAGGGAUUGCCCUAGUAACGGCGAGUGAAGCGGCAACAGCUCAAAUUUGAAAUCUGGCUUCCUUUGGGAGUCCGAGUUGUAAUUUGCAGAGGGCGCUUUGGCGUCGGCAGCGGUCUAAGUUCCUUGGAACAGGACGUCACAGAGGGUGAGAAUCCCGUACGUGGUCGCCUGCCUUCGCCGUGUAAAGCCCCUUCGACGAGUCGAGUUGUUUGGGAAUGCAGCUCUAAAUGGGAGGUAAAUUUCUUCUAAAGCUAAAUACUGGCCAGAGACCGAUAGCGCACAAGUAGAGUGAUCGAAAGAUGAAAAGCACUUUGGAAAGAGAGUCAAACAGCACGUGAAAUUGUUGAAAGGGAAGCGCUUGCCGCCAGACUUGCCCGUGGUGGUUCUCCUCCUCGGGCAGGCCAGCAUCAGUUUGGGCGAUCGGAUAAUGGCCUCUGUCAUGUAUCUUCCUUCGGGAUGACCUUAUAGGGGAGUCGUAGUACGGUCAGCCCGGACUGAGGUCCGCGCAUUUGCUAGGAUGCUGGCGUAAUGGCUGCAAGCGGCCCGUCUUGAAACACGGACCAAGGAGUCUAACAUCUAUGCGAGUGUUUGGGUGUCAAGCCCGAGCGCGCAAUGAAAGUGAACGGAGGUGGGAACCCUCUCUGGGGGUGCACCAUCGACCGAUCCUGAAGUCUUCGGAUGGAUUUGAGUAAGAGCAUGGCUGUUGGGACCCGAAAGAUGGUGAACUAUGCUUGAAUAGGGUGAAGCCAGAGGAAACUCUGGUGGAGGCUCGCAGCGGUUCUGACGUGCAAAUCGAUCGUCAAAUUUGGGCAUA